GGGCCAUAGCUCAGUAGUAAAGCAUCUGCUUUGCUUGCAGAAGGCCCCAGAUUCUGUCCCUGGCAUCUCCU